rnacentral:rRNA from 1 species
AAUCUUCCGCAAUGGACGAAAGUCUGACGGAGCAACGCCGCGUGAGUGAUGAAGGUUUUCGGAUCGUAAAACUCUGUUGUUAGGGAAGAACAAGUAUCGGAGUCACGGCCGGUACCUUGACGGUACCUGACGAGAAAGCCACGGCUAACUACGUGCCAGCAGCCGGGGGAAUUCGUUGGUCGCAAGCGUUGUUCGGAUUUUUUGGGCGUAAAGCGCGGGGAGGGGGUCUUUUAAAUCUGAUGUGAAAUCUUACAGCUUAAAUGUAAGCGGUCAUUGGAAACUGGGGGGCUUGAGUGCAGAAGAGGAGAGGGGAAUUCUAUGUGUAGCGGUGAAAUGCGGAGAGAUAUGGGGGAACACCAGUGGCGAAGGGGACUCUCUGGCCUGUAACUGGCGCUGAGGCGCGAAAGCGUGGGGAUCAAACA